GGGCCUGUAGCUCAACGGUUAGAGCAGAGGACUCAUAAUCCUUUGGUUCGGGGUUCAAAUCCCUGCAGGCCCACCA
rnacentral:tRNA from 1 species